GGCCUGAUGGUCUAGUAGCAUGAUUCUCCCUUCGGGUUAGCCCCAGUCGAUGAGCGACUCACAAAUGGGAGAGGUCCCGGGUUCAAUUCCCGGUCAGGCCC